UGGGGGAUAUUGCACAAUGGGCGAAAGCCUGAUGCAGCAACGCCGCGUGAGGGAAGACGGUUUUCGGAUUGUAAACCUCUGUCUUCGGUGAAGAAACAAAUGACGGUAGCCGAGGAGGAAGCCACGGCUAACUACGUGCCAGCAGACGCGGUAAUACGUAGGUGGCGAGCGUUGUCCGGAAUUACUGGGGGUAAAGGGAGCGCAGGCGGGGAAACAAGUCAGCUGUGAAAGCUAUGGGCUGAACCCAUAAACUGCAGUUGAAACGG
rnacentral:rRNA from 1 species